rnacentral:sRNA from 1 species
GCUGGGUAUGGUGGCACAUGCCUGUAAUCCCAGAGACUCAGGAGGCUGAGGCAGGAGGUUUGAAAGUUCAAAGUCAGCCUCUA